GAUGAACGCUGGCGGCGUGCCUAAUACAUGCAAGUCGAGCGAACAGACGAGGAGCUUGCUCCUCUGACGUUAGCGGCGGACGGGUGAGUAACACGUGGAUAACCUACCUAUAAGACUGGGAUAACUUCGGGAAACCGGAGCUAAUACCGGAUAAUAUAUUGAACCGCAUGGUUCAAUAGUGAAAGACGGUUUUGCUGUCACUUAUAGAUGGAUCCGCGCCGCAUUAGCUAGUUGGUAAGGUAACGGCUUACCAAGGCAACGAUGCGUAGCCGACCUGAGAGGGGGAUCGGCCACACUGGAAGUGAGAGACGGUCCAGACUCCUACGGGAGGCAGGAGUAGGGAAUCUUCCGCAAUGGGCGAAAGCCUGACGGAGCAACGCCGCGUGAGUGAUGAAGGUAUUCGGAUCGUAAAACUCUGUUAUUAGGGAAGAACAAAUGUGUAAGUAACUAUGCACGUAUUGACGGUACCUAAUCAGAAAGCCACGGCUAACUACGUG
rnacentral:rRNA from 1 species